rnacentral:tmRNA from 1 species
GGGGGCGUAUUGGCUUCGACGGGGGUAUGUUGUAUCUGAGAAGCGAGUCGAGGGAACCUGUGGGCCCGCGUUAAAAAACUAUGGGAUUAAAGAUAAACGCAAACGAUAAUUUUGCAUUAGCAGCUUAGUCUGCUACGUCCUACCUUAGAGUACCGCGACUUAGGAUAGGGCUCCGACAGCGGUGAAACGAGCCUAUGUAAGCUUUGCCACAGGAACGGGAUUUAUGAAGCUACUGAAACUAGAAGCCUGUCCUUAGGCGUCUGGUAGAGGGAACAAGUUGGGGACGGUCCUUUAGGCCCGUCGCCUAACGUUAAUAUAAGGACUGCACUCGGAGAUGCUCAGGUAUUACGACUUUCGGACAGGGGUUCGACACCCCUCGCCUCCACCA